rnacentral:rRNA from 1 species
UACGUAGGGUGCGAGCGUUUGUCCGGAAUUAUUGGGGCGUAAAGGGCUCGUAGGCGGUUUGUCGCGUCGGGAGUGAAAUCCACUGGCUUAACUGGUGGCUUGCUUUCAUACGGGCAGACUGGAGGUAUGCAGGGGGAGAACGGGAAUUCCUGGUGUAGCGGUGAAAUGCGCAGAUAUCAGGAGGAACACCGGUGGCGAAGGCGGGUCUCUGGGCCGAUACUGACGUGAGGCACGAAGGCCAGGGGAGCAAACGG